rnacentral:rRNA from 1 species
GACGAACCGUGCGAACGUUAUUCGGAAUCACUGGGCUUAAAGCGCGUGUAGGCGGAUCGCCGCGUCGGCUGCUGAAAUCCCCCGGCUCAACCGGGGAACGGGCACCGAUACGGGCGGUCUCGAGGGGGGUAGGGGGGUCUGGAACUUCCGGUGGAGCGGUGAAAUGCGUUGAGAUCGGAAGGAACGCCCGUGGCGAAAGCGAGGCCCUGGACCCUUACUGACGCUGAGGUGCGAAAGCGGGGGGAGCAAACAGG